rnacentral:rRNA from 1 species
UUGAACGCUGGCGGCAGGCCUAACACAUGCAAGUCGCGCGGAUGAAGGGAGCUUGCUCCUGGAUUCAGCGGCGGACGGGUGAGUAAUGCCGAGGAAUCUGCCUGGUAGUGGGGGAUAACGUCCGGAAACGGGCGCUAAUACCGCAUACGUCCUGAGGGAGAAAGUGGGGGAUCUUCGGACCUCACGCUAUCAGAUGAGCCUAGGUCGGAUUAGCUAGUUGGUGGGGUAAAGGCCUACCAAGGCGACGAUCCGUAACUGGUCUGAGAGGAUGAUCAGUCACACUGGAACUGAGACACGGUCCAGACUCCUACGGGAGGCAGCAGUGGGGAAUAUUGGACAAUGGGCGAAAGCCUGAUCCAGCCAUGCCGCGUGUGUGAAGAAGGUCUUCGGAUUGUAAAGCACUUUAAGUUGGGAGGAAGGGCAGUAAGUUAAUACCUUGCUGUUUUGACGUUACCAACAGAAUAAGCACCGGCUAACUUCGUG